rnacentral:rRNA from 1 species
CAGUAGCCGCGGUAAUACGUAGGGUGCGAGCGUUAAUCGGAAUUACUGGGCGUAAAGCGUGCGCAGGCGGUUCGUUAAGACAGAUGUGAAAUCCCCGGGCUUAACCUGGGAACUGCAUUUGUGACUGACGGGCUAGAGUAUGGCAGAGGGGGGUAGAAUUCCACGUGUAGCAGUGAAAUGCGUAGAGAUGUGGAGGAAUACCGAUGGCGAAGGCAGCCCCCUGGGCCAAUACUGACGCUCAUGCACGAAAGCGUGGGGAGCAAACAGGAUUAGAUACCCGCGUAUCCCUGUCUCUUAUACA